rnacentral:rRNA from 1 species
UAGGGGGCAAGCGUUAUCCGGAUUUACUGGGUGUAAAGGGAGCGUAGACGGCUUGGCAAGUCAGAAGUGAAAACCCAAGGCUUAACCUUGGGACUGCUUUUGAAACUGUCAGGCUAGAGUGCAGGAGAGGUAAGCGGAAUUCCUAGUGUAGCGGUGAAAUGCGUAGAUAUUAGGAGGAACACCAGUGGCGAAGGCGGCUUACUGGACUGUAACUGACGUUGAGGCUCGAAAGCGUGGGGAGCAAA